AGUGAACGCUGGCGGUAGGCCUAACACAUGCAAGUCGAACGGCAGCACAGUAAGAGCUUGCUCUUACGGGUGGCGAGUGGCGGACGGGUGAGGAAUACAUCGGAAUCUACUUUUUCGUGGGGGAUAACGUAGGGAAACUUACGCUAAUACCGCAUACGACCUACGGGUGAAAGCAUGGGAUCUUCGGACCUUGCACGAUUGAAUGAGCCGAUGUCGGACUAGCUAGUUGGCGGGGUAAAGGCCCACCAAGGCGACGAUCCGUAGCUGGUCUGAGAGGAUGAUCAGCCACACUGGAACUGAGACACGGUCCAGACUCCUACGGGAGGCAGCAGUGGGGAAUAUUGGACAAAGGGCGCAAGCCUGAUCCAGCCAUACCGCGUGGGUGAAGAAGGCCUUCGGGUUGUAAAGCCCUUUUGUUGGGAAAGAAAAGCAGCAGGUUAAUACCCCGCUGUUCUGACGGUACCCAAAGAAUAAGCACCGGCUAACUUCGUG
rnacentral:rRNA from 1 species